UAGGGAAUAUUGGACAAUGGGCGCAAGCCUGAUCCAGCCAUGCCGCGUGAGUGAAGAAGGCCCUCGGGUUGUAAAGCUCUUUUGUCCGGAAAGAAAAGCAUCGGGCUAAUACCCUGGUGUUCUGACGGUACCGGAAGAAUAAGCACCGGCUAACUUCGUGCCAGCAGCCGCGGUAAUACGAAGGGUGCAAGCGUUACUCGGAAUUACUGGGCGUAAAGCGUGCGUAGGUGGUUUGUUAAGUCUGAUGUGAAAGCCCUGGGCUCAACCUGGGAAUGGCAUUGGAAACUGGCGGACUCGAGUGCGGUAGAGGGGUGUGGAAUUCCCGGUGUAGCAGUGAAAUGCGUAGAGAUCGGGAGGAACACCAGUGGCGAAGGCGACACCCUGGACCAGCACUGACACUGAGGCACGAAAGCGUGGGGAGCAAACAGGAUUAGAUACCCUGGUAGUCCACGCCCUAAACGAUGCGAACUGGAUGUUGGGUGCAACUUGGCACUCAGUAUCGAAGCUAACGCGUUAAGUUCGCCGCCUGGGGAGUACGGUCGCAAGACUGAAACUCAAAUGAAUUGACGGGGUCAUAGCUGUUUCCU
rnacentral:rRNA from 1 species